ensembl:lncRNA
UUUGCCUUUUAGGUCAUAUUUUUAAAACCUGUUACUACAGGUUUUCUUUUUUAUGUUCUCUUAAGAACUCUGUGAUUGCUUUUGUCUGCUUUAAGCAGACUGGCCAAGCUGCAGUCAGUGUUCUGGCUGAGCUCUCACCGGGAACACACAAAGCAAACCAAUUUGCUUCAUUUCAGAUUCACAAUAUUCCUGCUAGUACAGUCCUUAAUAAUUUUCCUGCAUUGUUGGCUCUUACUUAGGUUUAGUCUUGACAGCCAGAUUCUGUCCUGACGUAUACUGAUUGAUUGUUUCCCUUUGAAUUAUGCUCUUUAUUUCCCCUCCUUAUGGACACAUUUAUAAGGCAUAAAUGUCUUAGGGACAUUUCUCCUCCUUAUGCCUGGUCUUCAGUGCAUGCAUCUUCAAAUUAGUUCCUCUCGUCCAAAAUGCAUAAUAAAUCUCUCAAUAUGAUGCUUUGAUUGCAUUAUUUAUUUCAUUAGUCAAAUAAUUUACAGAGAUUAUGAUUAAAACAGUUAAAAAAAAAAGAAAAAGGAAAUAAAGAACAAUUUCAGGUCAGACCUCUGGAAGACAUCACUUAAAGUCUCUUAGUCUGAUAACAAGAAAUAGUUAACUUAGGAAAUUUUGAUUGCAAUUCUGCAAGUCCUUUCAGUUCACUGUACUUUUACAGUACCAAAUGCCUCACAAAGGCCAAAGUUCGUCAUGUCUGUUGCUUAAACCAGUUAAGUCAGCUAGAAGGGUUGCUGUAGUCAGGUAUUUUUGAUAAAACCAGGCAUCGUGAAGAGUAUGAUGUUACUAUAGCUAUUUUAAGAAUACUUAGCAACCCAUCAGGUUUUGAAUAAGACUAAGUGGCCUGUGAUUCUCAGGUAUUCCUUUUACUGCUUAAAGUUGGUACUGUUUUCUCCUUCUUCAUUUGCAAACCAAGUGAAAGUCUUCCCUAAAGAUCACUAUAACUAAAGAUAAAGUUUUCAACUUCAGCUAUAAGUGCAUACACCUGUGUUUCUGGGGGAGUUCCUUCCAGCUGUAGUUUUAUUCACCAUGCAGGCCCACUGAAUUUCUCAUCUAGCUGUGACUAGUUAGGUAUGCAUGCAUUCAGUCUCUUGCAGAAGCAUUUGUAUGAAAGAACUGAUUUCAGGAAAAAAUCAGGAGAGGGUCCAAAAAGUGAUAUAAAUUUAUCAAAAAAUCUGCCAUGGUUCCAAAAUCUCUUUUUGAAACAUAUUUCUAAAGAACUCUUACUGGAGAUGGAAAUUUAGUUAUACCCUGACAAAUGGGUAGUUUACUUGCUAAGGUUCCAUAAAUAAGGUUUCUGUACAUAGAUCUAAGUGAAUAUGCAAGGUAUGGAAUGUAGAAUAUUUCCUUACCUGCUACAACCUAAAAUUACUCAGGAAAUGAACAAAAGCUUCCUCAAAACAAACAAACAAAGAAACCAAACAAAACCCAUGAGCUAUGACUACCAGCUACCAAGUGAUCCUUUCCAAGAUGAGAGAGUACAGAAUAUUUUGGAAGCCCUUACUGCAUGAAAGCCACAGUAGCAGCCUGGAUUAGAUAAUUUGGACAUUGUCACAUUGUGCAAGCACGUAAAGUGGCAGCAAAGUCAGAAUCACAGAAGAAAAUGCUUAGGUCAACUCAAAGACCAAUUGAAAACGGGAUAUCUAAUGCAUGCUAAAAUUAUGGGUAAUGCCAGGUCAUAUUAUUACUUUAGAAUAGUGGGAAAGUAUGCACUUAAUGAGCUCUACUAAGAGCUGUGUGGCUUGAUUAUUGCAGGUGAAAUAGUUCAGCUGCUAACAAAUGGUGCAGACCUUUUUCAAAGGUCUUUUCCCUGGCCUUCCCCCCGCUCCUGCCUUCCCCAAGGUGUUUCUGAGCACUGCCUUACUUCUAGUGAGAAUCCUCAUGGCAGGCUGAUGCUGGUACAAGGUUAGACAGAAGACUCUAAGGUCAGGAUUGAUUUUGAAAUAAGUAAUUUCAAUGACUAUUAAGGUAAUCAAUACACAGCUUGGAGCAAGACAUCUAAAAGUAGCCAAUACUCUCUUCCACGUCAAGAAUUCAUCUGGAAUCUUACAAGACUGUUUUGCACAUUCUCAUAAUGAGAAGUCAGACCUUCAGUGCAAGUUGCCUCAUUCCUUUAGAGUAAGUUGAUUUGUAUCAGUGUACACCAGCAGAAGAUUUAUACCAUGGUGCCAUGGAAAUGCUAAGUCGUGGCCUGAAGCAGUGAUUGCACACCUGGUGGGAAGGCAGGGCCAACCCAGGGGAGCUCAGGUGAACACAAUGCAGCUGAUUAGAAGGGCUGGAGCCGGGAUCCACCCUUUCCCAGACCUCAUGUAAGGGUUGGCAGUGGAGGGGGAGACUCUCUUGUUGGAGAUUCCUGCCUAUCUGAAGAUGUUACAGGCCUUCCAAAGAAUCAAUAUCAGAUGCAGAAAGGACAAGACAAUGGAAUUAAAACAUUCAAAAUUCUUUUCAGUACUUCCAGAUGCCAAUAGCAGAGACGUACUGACAUGAAAACCUCAACAAAAAAGUUGUAUCUACCCCAUCUACCUCUGUGAUGACAGAAUCACAGAAUGGCUUGUGUUGGAAGGAACCUCAAGGAUCAUGAAGCUCCAACCCCCUCGCCACAAGCAGGGCCACCAACCUCUGCAUUUAAUCCCAGACCAGACCACAUUUAAUGCCCAGGGCCCCAUCCAACCUGACGUUGAACAUCUCCAGGGAUGAGGCAUCCACAACCUCUUUGUGCAGCUGUUCCAGCACCUCACCACUCUCAUAGUAAAGAAAUUACAGAUUAUGAAGUAGUGGUUCCUGUGUGUAUCUGCUGUGCUGACCUCACCUAUAAAUGACUCUGCAGUGGAAAAGAUUCUUCUGUUCCCAAAAAUAUAAAUUACUCUUUAGACUAGGUUUUGCAUUCAAGCUAAUACAAUGGUGUUACUCAUAAGAGUGAAAUUAUUUGUGUUCAGACACGUUCCUAGAAUUAAUAUGUAACAUCUCAAAUCAGAUCUAACAGGAUGAAAAUGCGGAAUUUUGGGGGUCCAAUUUUGAGUAUGUAUCAAUCACAAAUUAUGAUUCUGGAAAAAAAAGUAGUUGUAACUAUGAGGUUAAUUAUAGUAACUAUGAGGUAGAUUAUAUGUAGUCAUCAAAUAACAGUUUUGUUACGCAAUGAGUAUCUGUCUUUGCAGUUAUAACACUGCAUCAUUUCUUAAAGUUAGUAUUAUCUUGUAACUUCACAUUGUGUUUUAAUUGCCUACUUGAAUUUGCUGUGCUUUAGUAGUGAAGACUUGCUGAUUAGUAUAUUAAUUGUUUUUAAGUGUUAAUGUAAUGCUUGGGACUUAUUUAACUUGGAUAAAUUGUGGGAUCUUUUUUUCUCUUUUCCUUCUUUAAGAGCUCAGCACAUAUAUCGGUCGAAUCUCCCUAUGAACUCAAAUCCCUGCUCUUACAUAAUGGCUAUUAGACUUAUGCUGUAAAGCUAAUCGCAGCAGGUGCCAUCACAGGACAGUGGGACAGUAGUGAACAUCCUUCCUGGUCAGUGGUCUCUGAUGUCAGACCCAGACUUUAUCCUUCUUCUACUGUGCUUUUUCAGGUGAUGUUUAAAGCCUGAUUUGACUGAUUAGUGCCAAUAUAGUUGAUUAAAGUUGCUUAUUGUUUUAAUCUGUCAGCAGUGUGAAUGUCAUGCAUCUGCUUAGGUAGGAGUAGUGGUGAAUUGAAAGGUAAGAGCUAUGUCUGAUUUCCAAUAUGAGCUGUUUUAGCCAACCCCCAUCUGAUGGGAAGCCUGUACCACUACAGGACUCAAGCUGUGCCUUUGUACUGAUCUGCUGCUCCUCAAUUCAAGAAAUACUGCCUCAAAAUAAAGCUGUUUGUCUUAUGUCAAGAGAUGAUUUCAUAUGCUCUCAGCGGUAGCUUAAGGAGAACUUUAAUCACUGCUCUAUACUACGUUUUCAUGUGUUUUGCUUUGAUUGCUUUUAUAUACAUACAUUAGUGAAAUGGGGCAGGAACAGAGGAAGUUUUUGUUACAUUCUGAUGGUCUUUGACAGGUCCUGGAUGUAUUGGGACUGUCUCCUCAACCAAGGCAGAACCCGAGUUACACAAAGGAAAGCUGUAUUGGAGAAUUGGUCUUCCAGCUGGAGAAGCCAUGCAGAAGCACAUGAUAUCAUGAACAUUAUUAUUAUUUCCCAGAAACUACUGAAAAAAGCAGUUAGUUUUGUCAUAGACAUAAAUGUUCUGCUUGGUGUCAGUGUAACCUCCAUUGUUUGCAAAGGUGGUUACCUUGUGUGUGCAGAAGUCCUGCCCGCUACCAUUAGCCAUACCGUUAGCUGUUACAGGAGGCUCUGCUGGUCAGUCAUGGUGACCCAGUCUGGCCAUUUCUGAUAUUUAAUGCAAUUCUCAAGUUGUUGUAAAACUCCAUAAGAAAAAGCCAUGCUAUAAUGAACAGACGGAAAUAAAGCUUCCCUUGUCUAAUAGUGUUAAAAUAUAUAUAUGUAUCUGAAGAAGUAAGGAAAGUGUUUGUCAUCAGAAGUUUUUCAUAAGACUUUUCAUGAUCAUUGCAUUCAGUGUUCAUUUAUCAUUUAGAGAAAAAAAAAUUCAGUAAUUAUUUUCAACCAAUAUAGGAAGAGAUUGAGAGCAAAUAUUAAGAUCAUUUGAGAGGACAAUUGAGGAUUUUAUUAUUAUUAUUUAGUAUUUCUCACAGUGCCUCUUAUUGCUAUCAUGUCUGGUUCUUCUUUUUCUACGCUUAAAUAUUCAACACCUCUGUUGUUUUGGCAUCAACAACUGACUCUGUCAGUGUACAUAAGAAGCCUCUGAUCUCUUAUGCUACCUAUGCAGAUUCUGAAUCCUGAGCCAAAACUUGGUCAAGUCAGAGGGGGGUGUUCAUACAGAGUCCUAGAAAAAUCGUUAUGGGGAACAUCUAGUAUAUCUCAAAUUGUGUAGAGGAAUCUGCUGAAACAAAGCAUGCUGGUACCUAGCUUAACUUGUACUUGUUAAUUAUUAGUGAUUAAUUUUUAAUAGCUGUAUUUUAUAGCUUGUGGUUGGUUAUGCCCCAAGGUAAUGACUUCUUGUGUCUCAUAUUCUGUUAUUUGAAGGACAUCAUUCAAUAUAGCAUCUAUACAGCUUUGUUAAAGCAUUUAGAUCUAAAUUUUCUGCAGCAAAGACACAUUUAUUAAAUAGUCCAUAUGUUUAUUACUGUUCACAAUGAUCAAAUCCUGGGAAAACAUUGCAGAAAGAAAAUAUCUAGCUUCCUACCUUAAUUCCCAUUAUUCUAUUGAUUAGAAAAGUGAAGAUUACAUGUAUUAUCAACUGUAUUAUCAGAUAAUCCAUAAUCAGAUGCCAUUUUAAUGACAGGCAUGUGCUUUUUGUGGUGUUCCCUGGUAAAGCAGUAUGAAGAAUUUAAUGACUUCAUUAAAAGAUACUGCAUAACAAAGAAAGGAAAGCCCAAUGCCAUUUAAUAUUAUCUUUACAAUGUAUUACAUUGUUGAAUUGGAUUUUUUGUUUUGCUUAUUUGGUUUUGUUGUUGUUUUGCAAUUUUAUGUUCUGUAAGUUGAACAAUAAAUGUGUGAUAAGCAAAGGAAAUGUUGAGAUUUUUGCAGAUAUGGGCAAGCAGUGUUAUGACAGGUAUGUUCUGUGUCCUUAAAGAAACAGCAAGAAUGGUUUGUACCUUAAGAUGAUGAAUCUAUAGCGGACUUUCAAAUUCUUUUAAAAAGCAAAAUAAUAAGGAAGGUUUCACUGUUGCAGAUUGUGCCUGGAAUGUUGGGGCUGGGAGAUGCCACAAAGGAUAUUUUCCUUUUUUUUUUUUUUCCAUUAUUUUAUUUGUUUGUGUGGUAUUUCGGUAUUUUUUUAUUGCCUGUCCAAGCUGACUGUACUAGUACCAUUGUGUUCUCAGAAGUGGAUCUGGAUGAUUCUUUACUUUUUUACUGGAGGUCGGAUUUACUUUUUUUUAGGAAGUCAGAUCCUGUCAUGAAGAUACUAGACUGGAAGUCAGGACUUUCCUUCUUGUGUCACAGACCUUGUGUGGGCCUAGCCUGGACAGGGUGUUUGAUUCUCACUGCUGCAGUAUUCCGUGUGAAAUUUGAAGUUUUGAUUUAUUCUUUCAAUUUGUUUAAGAAUACAUGUAUUCAUCAUGUAUGAGAUACAGAGAUGUAAUACUAAUGGAUACCUGGAUACAGUCCAUUGGAACGUUGAGUUUUGUAUCUCAAUUAUUGCAAAGCCUAAAAAUAGUUAAUAUUUGAGAGCAAAAAACAAAAUCGAGAAAACUCUUUGUCUUAAAUCUGCCUAUUCAUGAUUUGUCUAAAAGCACAUUAGUUUUGGGAAACAAAACUGAGAUUGUCUGCUGUUUUAGAACUUAAAAAUCAGUGAAAAUCAGCUGUUAUCAUCUUGACUUGGAACUGAAUUUGCUUUGUAACCUAAAAAGGCUGUAAUUUUGUAAAUAGGUAAUAGUUGUGGUAUUGUUUGUAUCAUUAAUACUGUAUUGCAUAUGUUACGAGUGUUGAUGCUGCUAGAUCUCUCAGUGGCUCAGGUUACUGAAAGCUAUUUAAAGAAGUCUCUGAUGCAGAGAUGCCAUUACAUUUGAUAUCUUACAUUGUGAUUUACAGGUUUUUAAGGCUUUGUUUGAUGUUGAUUUUGUUUUUUUUUUCAGAGCUCCUCUCCAGUGGUUCUCUGUUUGUUGGUCUGGCAAAGUCAUUUAAAUGAAAGUUCACAGUGCCAGAAUAUGGUUUAGCAAUUCACUGAAGCCACUAGAAUUGGGUUUUAUUUAUUUUAUUGUUUUAUUGCUGUCCUGCUCUGCUUGAAAUUCACCCAUUUAUGUUUAAGUAUGACAACAUAAAGCAAGUAGUAACAACUGUUUCUUUUUUUUUCAUUGAUCUGCGACAAAUUCUUCAGCUUA